rnacentral:rRNA from 1 species
UGAUCCGGUGGUUCUGUAUGGAAAGGCCAUCGCUCAACGGAUAAAAGGUACUCCGGGGAUAACAGGCUGAUUCCGCCCAAGAGUUCAUAUCGACGGCGGAGUUUGGCACCUCGAUGUCGACUCAUCACAUCCUGGGGCUGUAGUCGGUCCCAAGGGUAUGGCUGUUCGCCAUUUAAAGUGGUACGCGAGUUGGGUUCAGAACGUCGUGAGACAGUUCGGUCCCUAUCUGCCGUGGGCGUUGGAAAUUUGAGAGGAGCUGCUUCUAGUACGAGAGGACCGAAGUGGACGUAUCUCUGGUGGUCCGGUUGUCAUACCAAUGGCAUAGCCGGGUAGCUACAUACGGACGGGAUAACCGCUGAAAGCAUCUAAGCGGGAAGCCCACCUCAAGAUUAGAUUUCCCUAGGGGUUUAACCCCUCUGAAGGUCCGUCGAAGACUACGACGUUGAUAGGUUGGGUGUGUAAGUGCAGUAAUGCAUUGAGCUUACCAAUACUAAUUGACCGUGAGGCUUGACCAUAUAAUAG